rnacentral:rRNA from 1 species
UGGGGGAUAUUGCACAAUGGGCGAAAGCCUGAUGCAGCGACGCCGCGUGGGGGAUGAAGGCCUUCGGGUUGUAAACUUCUUUUGCUCUGAACAAGGCAUGCUAAUGGGUGUGUUGAGUGUAGGGGUUGAUUAGCGCCGGCUAACUACGUGCCAGCAGCCGCGGUAAUACGUAGGGCGCGAGCGUUGUCCGGAAUUAUUGGGCGUAAAGGGCUUGUAGGUGGCUGGUUGCGUCUGUCGUGAAAGCUCAUGGCUUAACUGUGGGUUUGCGGUGGGUACGGGCUGGCUUGAGUGCAGUAGGGGAGGUUGGAAUUCCUGGUGUAGCGGUGGAAUGCGCAGAUAUCAGGAGGAAUACCGGUGGCGAAGGCGGGUCUCUGGGCUGUUACUGACACUGAGGAGCGAAAGCAUGGGGAGCGAACAGG